UCCUACGGGACGCAGCAGUGAGGAAUAUUGGUCAAUGGUCGGGAGACUGAACCAGCCAAGCCGCGUGAGGGAUGAAGGUACAGAGUAUCGUAAACCUCUUUUGUCAGGGAACAAAGGCGGGGACGUGUCCCCGGAUGAGUGUACCUGAAGAAAAAGCAUCGGCUAACUCCGUGCCAGCAGCCGCGGUAAUACGGAGGAUGCGAGCGUUAUCCGGAUUUAUUGGGUUUAAAGGGUGCGCAGGCGGUCUGUUAAGUCAGCGGUCAAAGCCCGGGGCUCAACCCCGCCGAGCCGUCGGAACUGGGGGC
rnacentral:rRNA from 1 species